GGCCCCGCACAAGCGGUGGAGUAUGUGGUUUAAUUCGAUGCAACGCGAAGAACCUUACCAGGGUUUGACAUCCUGCGAAUCUCUUGGAAACAGGAGAGUGCCUUCGGGAACGCAGUGACAGGUGGUGCAUGGCUGUCGUCAGCUCGUGUCGUGAGAUGUUGGGUUAAGUCCCGCAACGAGCGCAACCCACGUCUUUAGUUGCCAGCAUUUAGUUGGGGCACUCUAGAGAGACUGCCGGUGAUAAACCGGAGGAAGGUGUGGAUGACGUCAAGUCAUCAUGCCCCUUACAUCCUGGGCUACACACGUGCUACAAUGGCGCAUACAGAGGGCAGCCAACUUGCGAGAGUGAGCG
rnacentral:rRNA from 1 species